GCUGCAUUUACACAUAAUUCGAUAUCAAUUCGAAACGUUUAACAUGUUUAAUGUCUACUUCAAUACGCAUAAAAAUCACCUCACUGUCCGAAUGAGCCUAAUUUUUUUUUAACUCAAUUAAUAUUAUUCAUUUGUUGUAACUGCUGGCAAGUUUAUAAAUAAUUCCUGUCAGAAAGCUGAAUCAAAACUUGUUGUACUAGUCGCCAUGAUAAGACCUGGCAUAAACAGUCUUCAAAAUUGAUCAUAUAUGUAGAUGUACAUAUAGGUAUAUGUAAAUAUCUUCAUAACAUCAUACAUGUAGUAGUCUAGAGUUUCAUUGUUGUUGUUGAACUAUAGGGGUGAAUAGACAAUCCAAUUGCUACAGAGAAUCAUGUAUUGUAAAUAUACAUGUAUGCUUUGCCUCUUCUUGUAUUAGCCAUUGCCAAAGAUUGGAAUCAAGCUGAAAUAAAAACAAAUACAAAUAGGUAUAAUAUUAUUGCUUUAAAAUUUUGACAUAUAGAAUGAAGCAAAAAGACUUCAU
rnacentral:lncRNA from 1 species